rnacentral:misc_RNA from 1 species
CUGAGUAUUUAGUGAUGUUGAUCUAAACAAUCACAUCCUAAGUCUCCACCCUUUGUUUACAUAUCUUUGUUGCUUUGACAGGCCCGUCUUUGGACCACCGGCUUCUGCUGGUCAGUGCCUGCCAGAGGAUCUUAAAACUCUUUAUAAUUUAUUGUCUGAGUAACUAUAUAAUAGUUA